rnacentral:lncRNA from 1 species
GGAAGACAGAAGAUAUGGAAGACAAAAGGAGGUUCAGCUGCUUUUUCUACCUCAGAGCUGAAGAGUGGAACUCGCUGACUCCAUUUCAGCCCCGAGUGCCGCCCCUCUUCUGAUGGAAGCAGACUGUGCUGGCACUACCUGCUUGCUUUCUCAUCCACUUGCGUGUCUAACAAGCUUCCCAUUCACUGUCUCCUGCUCUGCCAUCCAGAAUGAGCAGAAGUUUUUCCAUUGCCCUAUUAUAAUCUUGCAGAUCUUUAAAGGAUCUCACAAAGUAGUUGUGAGCACCUUCAGCUGUCUCAGCCAGUACUCUUGUGGUACCAUUGGAC